rnacentral:rRNA from 1 species
UACGGAGGGUGCGAGCGUUGUCCGGAAUCACUGGGCGUAAAGGGCGCGUAGGCGGCCUGAUAAGUAGGGGGUGAAAUCCUGCGGCUUAACCGCAGGGCUGCCUUCUAAACUGUCAGGCUGGAGCACAGUAGAGGCAGGUGGAAUUCCCGGUGUAGCGGUGGAAUGCGUAGAGAUCGGGAAGAACACCAGUGGCGAAGGCGGCUUACUGGUCCGGUUCUGACGCUGAGGCGCGAAAGCGUGGGGAGCAAACAGG